rnacentral:rRNA from 1 species
GAUGAACGCUGACAGAAUGCUUAACACAUGCAAGUCGACCUGUGGCGGACGGGUGAGUAACGCUUAUAGAACUUGCCUCACAGGUUGGGACAACAUUAGGAAACGAAAGCUUAUACCUAAUACUGUGAGAGAGCUUUGCGUCCCAUUAGCUCGUUGGAGAGGUAUCGGAUCACCAAGGGGAGGAUGGGUAGCCGGCCUGGGAGGGUGACCGGCCACAAGGGGACUGGGACACGGCCCUUACGCAUACGGGAGGCAGGAGUGGGGAAUAUAGGAAAAUGGACCAAAGUCUGAUCAAGCAAUUCUGGGUGGACGAUGAAGUUUUGGGAAUGUAAGGUGCUUUCAGUUGAGAAGCGGUACCAACAGAAGAAGUAACGGCUAAAUACGUGCCAGCAGCCGCGGUAAUUC